rnacentral:rRNA from 1 species
UCGCGUAGGGAUUUAUCGUUGGGUGGGGGAUAACCGUGGGAAACUGCGGCUAAUACCGCAUGACGCCUGUGGGCCAAAGCCGCUGUGAGGUGGUGCCUGAUGAGGAGCCCGCGUCCGAUUAGCUAGUAGGUUGGGUAAUGGCUGACCUAGGCUGUGAUCGGUAGCUGGUCUGAGAGGAUGAUCAGCCACACUGGGACUGAGACACGGCCCAG